AUACGGAGGGUGCGAACGUUAAUCGGAAUUACUGGGCGUAAAGCGCGCGUAGGCGGUUCGGCAAGUGGGAUGUGAAAGCCCAGGGCUUAACCUUGGAACUGCAUUCCAAACUGUCGGACUAGAGUAUGGUAGAGGGAGGUAGAAUUUCCUGUGUAGCGGUGAAAUGCGUAGAUAUAGGAAGGAAUACCGGUGGCGAAGGCGGCCUCCUGGACCAAUACUGACGCUGAGGUGCGAAAGCGUGGGGAGCAAACAGGAUUAGAGACCCCGGUAGUCC
rnacentral:rRNA from 1 species